rnacentral:lncRNA from 1 species
AUUUAAAUAAGUUGUGUGGUUUCCUAAUUGAGUAUCUAGGGAUGACAGAACUUUCUAUAUACUUUUGGAAGAUGACAAGUUUGAGAGUAAUUUAUUCAUAUCUAGCUUAGAAAAUUCAUUCAUCAAAUGGCUCGUAGUAGUCUCCAAACAAAUUUACUUUUUUUUUUUUCUUUAUUUCUUUCUUCUUUCAAAAUGGAAGCAUCCUGAUAAAUUUUUCAGAAAGCCAC